UACGUAGGGUGCAGCGUUGUCCGGAAUUAUUGGGCGUAAAGAGCUCGUAGGCGGUUUGUCGCGUCUGCUGUGAAAACCCGAGGCUCAACCUCGGGCCUGCAGUGGGUACGGGCAGACUAGAGUGCGGUAGGGGAGAUUGGAAUUCCUGGUGUAGCGGUGGAAUGCGCAGAUAUCAGGAGGAACACCAAUGGCGAAGGCAGAUCUCUGGGCCGUAACUGACGCUGAGGAGCGAAAGCAUGGGGAGCGAACAGG
rnacentral:rRNA from 1 species